UAAGUGCUUCCAUGUUUCGGUGA
rnacentral:miRNA from 1 species